UGGUCGCAGGUUCGAAUCCUGCACGACCCACCAAUUUAACAUCAAACUCAGAUGUUGAACGUGAAGGAUAACGUUGCGUCAGCAACGGCCCGUAGGGCGAGGCGAAGCCGAGUCAUCCUGCACGACCCACCA
rnacentral:sRNA from 3 species